UACAGAGGUCUCAAGCGUUGUUCGGAUUCAUUGGGCGUAAAGGGUGCGUAGGCGGCGCGGGUAAGUCGGGUGUGAAAUCUUGGAGCUUAACUCCGAAACUGCAUUCGAUACUGCCGUGCUUGAGGACUGGAGAGGAGACUGGAAUUUACGGUGUAGCGGUGAAAUGCGUAGAUAUCGUAAGGAAGACCAGUGGCGAAGGCGGGUCUCUGGACAGUUCCUGACGCUGAGGCACGAAGGUCAGGGGAGCAAACGGG
rnacentral:rRNA from 1 species